UACGAAGGGGGCUAGCGUUGUUCAGAAUUACUGGGCGUAAAGCGUGCGCAGGCGGCUUCUCAAGUCAGGGGUGAAAGCCCAGAGCUCAACUCUGGAAUUGCCUUUGAGACUGAGUGGCUUGAGUACGGGAGAGGUGAGUGGAAAUUCCCAGUGUAGAGGUGAAAAUUCGUAGAUAUUGGGAAAGAACACCGGUGGCGAAGGCGGCUCACUGGCCCGUAACUGACGCUCAUGCACGACAGCGUGGGGAUCAAACAGG
rnacentral:rRNA from 1 species